UGGCACUAGAAGCCGAUGAAGGACGUUACUAACGACGAUAUGCUUUGGGGAGCUGUAAGUAAGCUUUGAUCCAGAGAUUUCCGAAUGGGGAAACCCAGCAUGAGUUAUGUCAUGUUAUCGAUAUGUGAAUACAUAGCAUAUCAGAAGGCACACCCGGAGAACUGAAACAUCUUAGUACCCGGAGGAAGAGAAAGAAAAUUCGAUUCCCUUAGUAGCGGCGAGCGAAACGGGAAGAGCCCAAACCAACAAGCUUGCUUGUUGGGGUUGUAGGACACUCUAUACGGAGUUACAAAGGACGACAUUAGACGAAUCAUCUGGAAAGAUGAAUCAAAGAAGGUAAUAAUCCUGUAGUCGAAAAUGUUGUCUCUCUUGAGUGGAUCCUGAGUACGACGGAGCACGUGAAAUUCCGUCGGAAUCUGGGAGGACCAUCUCCUAAGGCUAAAUACUCUCUAGUGACCGAUAGUGAACCAGUACCGUGAGGGAAAGGUGAAAAGCACCCCGGAAGGGGAGUGAAAUAGAACCUGAAACCGUGUGCUUACAAGUAGUCAGAGCCCGUUAAUGGGUGAUGGCGUGCCUUUUGUAGAAUGAACCGGCGAGUUACGAUUUGAUGCAAGGUUAAGCAGUAAAUGUGGAGCCGUAGCGAAAGCGAGUCUGAAUAGGGCGUUUAGUAUUUGGUCGUAGACCCGAAACCAGGUGAUCUACCCUUGGUCAGGUUGAAGUUCAGGUAACACUGAAUGGAGGACCGAACCGACUUACGUUGAAAAGUGAGCGGAUGAACUGAGGGUAGCGGAGAAAUUCCAAUCGAACCUGGAGAUAGCUGGUUCUCUCCGAAAUAGCUUUAGGGCUAGCCUCAAGUGAUGAUUAUUGGAGGUAGAGCACUGUUUGGACGAGGGGCCCCUCUCGGGUUACCGAAUUCAGACAAACUCCGAAUGCCAAUUAAUUUAACUUGGGAGUCAGAACAUGGGUGAUAAGGUCCGUGUUCGAAAGGGAAACAGCCCAGACCACCAGCUAAGGUCCCAAAAUAUAUGUUAAGUGGAAAAGGAUGUGGCGUUGCCCAGACAACUAGGAUGUUGGCUUAGAAGCAGCCAUCAUUUAAAGAGUGCGUAAUAGCUCACUAGUCGAGUGACACUGCGCCGAAAAUGUACCGGGGCUAAACAUAUUACCGAAGCUGUGGAUUGUCCUUUGGACAAUGGUAGGAGAGCGUUCUAAGGGCGUUGAAGCAUGAUCGUAAGGACAUGUGGAGCGCUUAGAAGUGAGAAUGCCGGUGUGAGUAGCGAAAGACGGGUGAGAAUCCCGUCCACCGAUUGACUAAGGUUUCCAGAGGAAGGCUCGUCCGCUCUGGGUUAGUCGGGUCCUAAGCUGAGGCCGACAGGCGUAGGCGAUGGAUAACAGGUUGAUAUUCCUGUACCACCUAUAAUCGUUUUAAUCGAUGGGGGGGACGCAGUAGGAUAGGCGAAGCGUGCGAUUGGAUUGCACGUCUAAGCAGUAAGGCUGAGUAUUAGGCAAAUCCGGUACUCAUUAAGGCUGAGCUGUGAUGGGGAGAAGACAUUGUGUCUUCGAGUCGUUGAUUUCACACUGCCGAGAAAAGCCUCUAGAUAGAAAAUAGGUGCCCGUACCGCAAACCGACACAGGUAGUCAAGAUGAGAAUUCUAAGGUGAGCGAGCGAACUCUCGUUAAGGAACUCGGCAAAAUGACCCCGUAACUUCGGGAGAAGGGGUGCUCUUUAGGGUUAACGCCCAGAAGAGCCGCAGUGAAUAGGCCCAAGCGACUGUUUAUCAAAAACACAGGUCUCUGCUAAACCGUAAGGUGAUGUAUAGGGGCUGACGCCUGCCCGGUGCUGGAAGGUUAAGAGGAGUGGUUAGCUUCUGCGAAGCUACGAAUCGAAGCCCCAGUAAACGGCGGCCGUAACUAUAACGGUCCUAAGGUAGCGAAAUUCCUUGUCGGGUAAGUUCCGACCCGCACGAAAGGCGUAACGAUUUGGGCACUGUCUCAACGAGAGACUCGGUGAAAUCAUAGUACCUGUGAAGAUGCAGGUUACCCGCGACAGGACGGAAAGACCCCGUGGAGCUUUACUGUAGCCUGAUAUUGAAAUUCGGCACAGCUUGUACAGGAUAGGUAGGAGCCUUUGAAACGUGAGCGCUAGCUUACGUGGAGGCGCUGGUGGGAUACUACCCUAGCUGUGUUGGCUUUCUAACCCGCACCACUUAUCGUGGUGGGAGACAGUGUCAGGCGGGCAGUUUGACUGGGGCGGUCGCCUCCUAAAAGGUAACGGAGGCGCUCAAAGGUUCCCUCAGAAUGGUUGGAAAUCAUUCAUAGAGUGUAAAGGCAUAAGGGAGCUUGACUGCGAGACCUACAAGUCGAGCAGGGUCGAAAGACGGACUUAGUGAUCCGGUGGUUCCGCAUGGAAGGGCCAUCGCUCAACGGAUAAAAGCUACCCCGGGGAUAACAGGCUUAUCUCCCCCAAGAGUUCACAUCGACGGGGAGGUUUGGCACCUCGAUGUCGGCUCAUCGCAUCCUGGGGCUGUAGUCGGUCCCAAGGGUUGGGCUGUUCGCCCAUUAAAGCGGUACGCGAGCUGGGUUCAGAACGUCGUGAGACAGUUCGGUCCCUAUCCGUCGUGGGCGUAGGAAAUUUGAGAGGAGCUGUCCUUAGUACGAGAGGACCGGGAUGGACAUACCUCUGGUGUACCAGUUGUCGUGCCAACGGCAUAGCUGGGUAGCUAUGUGUGGACGGGAUAAGUGCUGAAAGCAUCUAAGCAUGAAGCCCCCCUCAAGAUGAGAUUUCCCAACUUCGGUUAUAAGAUCCCUCAAAGAUGAUGAGGUUAAUAGGUUCGAGGUGGAAGCAUGGUGACAUGUGGAGCUGACGAAUACUAAUCGAUCGAAGACUUAAUCAA
rnacentral:rRNA from 1 species